rnacentral:rRNA from 1 species
GACGAACGCUGGCGGCGUGCUUAACACAUGCAAGUCGAACGGAAAGGCCCUGCUUUUGUUGGGUGCUCGAUUGGCGAACGGGUGAGUAACACGUGAGUAACCUGCCCUUGACUUUGUGAUAACUUCAGGAAACUGGGGCUAAUACCGGAUAGGAGCUCCUGCUGCAUGUUGGGGGUUGGAAAGUUUCGGCGGUUGGGUAUGGGCUCGCGGCUUAUCAGCUUGUUUGUGGGGUAGUGGCUUACCAAGGUUUUGACGGGUAGCCGGCCUGAGAGGGUUACCGGCGACCAUGGGACUGAGAUAGGGACCAGAAUGGUACGGGAGGCAGUAGUGGGGAAUAUUGCGCAACGGGCGGAAGCGUGAUGCAGCAACGCCGCGUGCGGGAUGACGGCCUUCGGGUUGUAAACAGAUUUCGACUGUGACAAAGCGUGAGUGACGGUAAUGGGUAAAGAAGCACCGGCUAACUACGUG